ACGGGCCGCGUCGCAGGCGGCAGCGCCGGUGGGGGAACCGGCCCCGUCGCAGGCGGCAGCGCCGGUGGGGGAACCGGCCCCGUCGCAGGCGGCAGCGCCGGUGGGGGAACGGGCCGCGUCGCAGGCGGCAGCGCCGGUGGGGGAACGGGCCGCGUCGCAGGCGGCAGCGCCGGUGGGGGAACCGGCCGCAUUGUGAACGGCAGCGCCGGUGAGGGAACCGGCCGCGUCGCAGGCGGCAGGGUUAAGGAAGGAGCCGAGGCAGAAGGGCCAGGCUGACGACCCCAGUAGGUUGAACAUUGAGCUGAAGACCUUUACGGGCGGAUGGCAAGUUGGGAGCAAGAGAGCGGCAGGCCAAGGACACCAUGGAAGCCAAAAAGGUAUGGAAAAUGGUAAAAGUUAUGCAGUGUUGCCUACAGACUGAAAUCCUAUUCAAGUCAGUGGACAAGUUCCCACGGAGUUCAAGGACAUUUGGAAGGAGAACCCAAGCUUUCCAUCCCCACAAAACUCAGGCACCACUUAAUAUCAGCACUGGCGUUAAACCCAUCUCUCAACAAACAACUACAGGAUAUGCCUCUUUUUCGGCACAGGGGACGUCCCAAGCAAGAGACUGGACUUCAGCUUUGGUGCUGAAUUGGACUCAAGUAACAUGAUUUUGGCUCAUUUACAUAAGAGCUGCUUUUUAGAAACACUGAGCACUUUCAGCUCCCAUGCACUUCAAACAGGAUGAUGAGCAUGCAGCAUUUCUGAAGAACUGCCUUUCAUUGCCUCAUGAGAGGCUAAUGCUAUUUCAUGGAAAUAGUCUGAGGCUUAAACUAAUGGUUCUAAAGCUCACUCACAUCCUCAGAAGAAAAUGCUACAUAAAUGCAAAAUAUUGCUAUAAUAAGCAUUCAACAGUACAAGCCAUAAUAAUCAUUUUCUUCCCUUCUCCAGCAGCAAAGGAGAAAAUAUAAUACUUACCUUGGUAGAAUUACCAUGUCUUGGAGAGACUAUAAAUGGAAAAUUCUCACACGAUACUUCCUUGGAUGAAAGCUCCUAUGCAAGUGUAAAUUAUUAUCAUUAAAAUAAUGAUUUUGUACCCUGCUUAAGUUUUUUGCAGCUUGCCCUGAGAUUGAAAACAAAGCUCAAGGAUGUAAUGUGAAUUUUACCACAGCAUUUGGUCUCCAUCUGAAUUGUGUAGCCCUCACAAUCAGCACACAGAGACCGCAUUAAGAAAGAAGGCCCUAUGGUACAGGAUCCAAAUGUGUUGCCUUAUUUUUCUCAGAUAAUUUUAAAGCCAGGAAUGACUACAGAGAUUGUAAACAGUACCUCACCAGUUCCAAUCCAGUUCAGGUAGGAAGAUGAACAGAAGAGAUCAUCAAGUGAUGGCUCUGAGGUGUCCCAUAUAAAAUGUGUUCUUUAGUCUCAGGGCAGCUAUCAUGGGUGUUUUUAUCCAUUCCAGACACCCCUCGCUGCCACUCUCAGCAGACAAGCAAAUCAUUAAAAUGACCACAGAGGCUGAUUUAACCUCUCAAACCCUCAAAAUAUUCUUCCCCCAUGGCAAGAUCAAGACACGCUGGCUGGGGAAGCAUGCAGAAGCUUGCCUAGCAUUUGACUGGGUAAUAGGUCCUUGAGAAGCAAGCCAGAAAACAAUGUAGAUACCUUCUAAAAAUGUUGCUUUGAGUUAGAACUGGUUUAAAAUUUUUCAAGCAACCUUUUUCAAUGGAAAAGAUGUUUUGAACAACAUCUAAAAAGAUGUGUUGGGAAUGUAUUGAUUUUGUAAAAAACAACAACAUUCAGUUCUGAGCAAGUCAAAAUAUUUUAUUUCAGUCCAAUCUUAACUUCUAUCAAGUCAGAGCACAUGGUGAAAAAUCCUCAGGUUCCUAUUUUCCACCCUGAUUUGGGAUUAAGUGAAAUUUCAGGAACUCAGCAUAUUUGUUUUCUAAUCAUUUCCACCCCUAUUUUUGAGAGUCUCUGGCACCAGCUGCUAGACAUCCUUGACAGAAGUACUUCAACUGAGUUCAGUCAGUGUUUUAGGUCCCCCAUUCCUCUGUAAAUAAGGACUAAAACACCUCAAACCUUUAUACAGAAAAAUGGAGAGUCCCAAAUUAGAGAAAAGGAUGGAAGUAGGUGAGAAUAGGCUGUGCUCCAAAAUCCAUUUGAAUCAAUGUAUUCAGUGUCCAAGGUUUAAAAUUACUUUAUAAACUGUCACUUUUCAAAUUCAAGUUCAAUCCAAACAUGAUUUAUACGUGAUCAAUAGAUAUUACAAGUACGUUGCAGACAUGAAUAGAUGGUGUGAAGUAUGUGCUAGGCCCUAUCAGUCUUAGUUGUUAGAGACCUGGGGUUAUAUAAGUAAUCUUUUGACCCAGGAAACUUUAUAAUCAUCCACAAACACUGCUUGGGAUCAACAUGGAAGUACACAGAUACAAUUCUUGUGUUCUACAAGAAGAAGUCAGACUUACAUAUGAUCACAUCAUCCUUUCUGGCACAGAUAACAAUUCCUGAACAUGUCCAUCAGUCACAUAUUAACUACAGCUGGUUAGGACUUGCCUGAUGACGUGGACUGAGGAGGAUGGGGGGGGGAAGACAACUAUCUGUGCCUCCAAUUCCCAAGUGGGUGCUAUUUGAGGGGGAGGAGGAGGAGGGUGAGGGUGAUUGGUUAAUUAUUCUAGUUACUCUUUUGGUCUCUCCAACUCUUUUUGUCCCUGUAUCCCCAAAACAGUAGAGCGAGGUUUGUUUCUUUUUAAACAUUUUUUUCAAUUCUAUUGUUUUUUCCUUUGAAGGAAGGGAAAACAAAAACUUGUCCAGUUCGAUCAUUAGCCUGCCACAAACUAUUUAUAAAUGGAACUUCAAUAUUCAAGUGUGACCAUAAGAGACUGGAAAAAUAUUUAUGAUGCUUGAAACAAAUCCUUUCUAUUUCAUGCACAGCUGAUUUACACUACGCUGUUUAAUGACUCUUCUAUUUUUUUUCUUGCCAUUUGCCGAUCUUUUUUGGUGUCUUAUUUGCCAUCAAUCACACCCUAAGUACAGUAAUGCUCUCUAGGGCUGUGCGAAACAGCACCGUUUCAUUUUUACUUUUUUUUCGCCAUUUCGAUGGGACAGUGUUUCAUUUUGAGUUUCGGUUUGUUUUGAAAGCACUGUUCCUUUUUGUUUCAUUGCAACUGUUUCAACGUUUCGCCCUUAGGCUAUAAUGGGGAAGCACAGAACUGCCUAUAACUUUGUCAUAUUUUGGCAGAUUUGAAUGAAAAUAGCAGGGAUGGUAGCCCCUUCUGAGGGCAUGAAGCCCACCAAGUUUCCAGGGGACAGGUGAAGGGGUUUCUGGGAAACUGCACCUCAAGCUGCUGACAAGAAAAACUCAUGUCACUUGUAAAUGUGAAGGCACAGGGGGGUGAAAAUAGCAGGCAUGGUAGCCACUGAUGAAGCUGGGAAGAUACUUGGUAUUUAUCUAAAAGUUUUUUGAGGAUGCUCCACAUCCCUGGUGAUUAACCCCAGAAGGUUGAGGGUAUUCAGCAUUGCAAUACCCAAAUGAUUUAGAAACACCUAAAUGGUGUAGGAGCUUAAAACAAAUCAACUCGCAAUAAGUCACUUUUAAAAGAUAUUUAAUAGAAAUAAAUGCAAAGGGGGAUUCUUAAAAGUACAUAAGCGCUUAUCUGCCACGGAUUUAACUGAGAAUGAAACAAACACGUAUGACAGGAUUUCCUUUUAAAAAUCCUGUUUUCAUAUUUUGGUUUCUAAGUAACUUUAAAAAAAUUGGGCCAGCACAGAUAAUCCUCCCACAGGAUCUGGCACAGAUGAUCAUCGUCUUAGCCCUCUGAGGUAUGGAAGGGGUAUCUGUAUUUCCUGAAGAGAUGUAAGGGCACUGAAGGAGGGAAAGGACUUCUUAGAGGUCAGACAGGAUGCUGGCGAUACAGCUGGAAAUCUAAGUUAGUUCCCUCUUUGCGCUUAAAUUUCCACUCCAAACCUUAUAGCACUUCAUAGGAGGACACAUUAUGUCCAACUGACUGAUAAGGAAGCAGAGUCACAAGGAAAAUUGGGUCAUUUCACCACAUUAAUGAAAGACCCAAGGCCUAAGUGAAAAACCUGCCAACCUGACAGAGCCCAAUGUCUUAGAAAGGGUUGAACACUGACCCACAUGUAGCGCUUCUGAACAGAGAAAUCAAGUGGUCCCAGCAAUCCAAGAUGCCCAUGCACUAUGGAAAAGCAGUAUCAUUGUGUAAGAGAAAAAUAUAUCAUAAUACUGACAAGCUUCCCUCAUGCCCCUUACCUUUAGAUGCAUCAUACUCCUUUACACACAGUAUACAGAUUUUCCGUGGCCUUCAGAAGCAAGAACCUAUUAAAAGUUUUGGACAUUAGGGCUAGGGGCAGACAUUCAAAAAGCUGGAGUUGGAAUGAUUCAACCUUUGCAGGUUAGUUUAACCUGGCUAGGCUGAACUGGUUUGUAACAGGACAAACGUUAUCUCUCGACUGAGGCAAAGCAGGAGAGUUAGUCUUCCCUCUACCCCCACUGGUAGCUGGGUUUGCCUGCCCUCGCCGCCGUGCUCCCUGCCUGGGAACAGGCCCCCUGCUGACCCUUCCACCGGCAGAUGAGGGAGGAGGAGUAACCCCUGUCCCUGCCCCUCCCACCCCAAGGGACCCUGCUGGCCAGCAUCUGGCCAUGUCCCCUCCCCGCGUUUGCAGCAGGAGAGGGCAGGGUCCAUGUUGGGGGCAGCAGCCCCUGUCAUAAUGUGGGGGAGCGCGAGCCCCUUCCCGAUGGGGGCACUGUGCUGCAGGGCUGGCAGAGCUGCAGCGGGGUGUGUGCAGUAGCACCGGGGUCCCGAGCGGGCCAGAGCCCUGCAAGCCCCCUGCAGUGCUCUGCAGAGCGGCCCCUCCCGGGAAGAGGCUUGCUCUCCAGGAAGCCGUGACUGGCUAAAUUUUUUAGGGGUCCCACGGGCCGGAUAGAACAUCCUGGAGAGCGGCAUCUGGCCCCCGGGCCGCAUUUUGCCCACCCCUGCCUUAAACACUGUAUAGGAGGAACAAUCAAAGCCUGGUAGUGAACGCGCCUUCUUAAAAGUAUAAGGGAAUGUUUUAACGUGCUCAGAAUUUAUGCCCUUGUGGAUGUUUUAACUGAAUGAAGCUCUAGAUCAUUUUAAGUCGACCUCUUAACUCAGGCUGUUCUUUUUCCCCUUCCUUUGAGAUAUGAGUCUUUGGGGUUCCUGUCAAAAAGUUUGCUGCAAGGCAAGCAGGAGAAAGAGGGGCAACAUACACACACUACAGCUGAGAGGACAACUGUAACAACCAAUUGCUUCAGGGCCAGUUAUUUGCCACAAAACUGAAGGACUGGGAUAUUUCUGACUUCAGACACUUUAUUUUCCUGCUGCACUUCAAAGUACCCAGGGGAACUUUUCCAAUCUUUUCUCCAAUGCCUGAUGAAGGGUGUCUGUGCCCGAAAGCUUGCAACUAAAGACAUUUUUUUGUAAAAAACCUUGUUGGUCUAAUAAAAGAUAUCACCUCUACUAUGAGUCCUGAUUGCCUUUUCCUCUAGACCAAUGUGGCAACAACCUGGAUAGCUAAAUCGGAAGAAACAAGUUAGUUAGAGAGCUUGUCAAAUACCUCUCCCUCAGGGAAGAAAUGUCCACUAUGCACAGACUCCCUUCUGGCCAAACCAGGGUAGGAGCUACUGUCUGAACUACACCUACUAAUUAAUAUUUUGCACUUCUAAUGCAUUGCAUCUUAUUACAGGUUCUCAGAGCACUCUGCAAAAAAGUAACCAUCUCAACUGCAUGCAUCUAAACUAAGUACAAUUAUCCCCUCGUCUAUUCACGGGUUAACUGAGGCACAUCGCUCAAGGCGUUUCAGAGAUGUACCAUGAUUUUAGGGUGCUCAACCUAAGAUACAUUAAAUGUUCCUGCUUUUCACAUACUGCUGAGCACUUACAUUUCAAAAAUCCAGUGUCCUUACGGUUCUGCUAAGUGACAUCAUUUUUUUAGAUGAUUGUUUUGUCACUAUUAUUGUGUCACUACUGGGAAGAGCCAGGAACAGGAGCCAUACAUCCAAAUGAUGACCCUCAUUGCUUUAAACACUUGGGAGAAUACUUCAUCUGUUAUUUAAAGAAAACAGUACUGUAUUUAUCUGCUACUUUGCGACAUGCUUUUGAAGGUGCCCCCUUUGCAAGUCAUCAGGAGGCAGAUUACCCACCGAGGUCAAUGAUACUUUCAUACAUCAAAGAUGCAUGGGAAUGGAUCCAGGAGUGUUUGUGCUGACUUCAACAGACAUUGGUUCAGCCUUUAAGAACUAAUGAAACGUAAGAACGGUAGACACUGCAAAGAGAAAUGCUGAAGGGUAGCAGUCUAAAACAGUUAUGAAAAUUAAACUGGCCAACCAGACAGUAACUGUGGUACACAGAAGUAUUAGUAGUUGUCGAGAGAAGCAAUUGCAACUACAGCUUAUCAGUGAUUCCUAUUCCCAGUAAAAAAGUCAACAAAACUGAGAAAUAGAAGAACAGAACGGAAAAGAGAACAGAAUAGAAAAGUCCAAUUUUAUUUCUACAUUUGUAUUUUCAUCCAAAGUGAGAAAAGGGUGUUUGCUUGUUUUUUGUUUCCAGGAAGUAAAACAUUGUUUCCAAUAUUCUGCUCCCCUGAUUUUUUUUUAAUUUGGGGUGUCCACAUUUUUCAAUGAAAAGGAAUAUUUCAGAAAGGCUGGGGCUCUGGGUCACUGAACCAGUGGCUCAUCAAGACAUAAAAUAUGAUGCAAGGAGCAUGAAGCAUAUGAAAAAAACCAGCCCCCUAGCAACAGAUUGAUUUUGUCCAUGUUUUGCAUUUCCUAUGGAGAACAGCAGUGAACAUGGCAAAGUCCACCCACGCAUCUCCAGUAGUGAACACGAACCAAACAUUCCCACUCACUCGUGGAAGGAAGAGUUUUGCAAUGUUGUGACAGCUAGGUGAGAAACCACGAGAGAUGUCUGAACUCCCCUCAUUGUAAUUCCUCCUGCAAGGGCGCAUGGACGAUUACUUGUCUUCCACGGCUCUGGACUCUGUUAUUUGUGCUGUUUGCUGCUCGUUAUUUUUGUGCUAUAAAAAAAAAAGUGAGAGAGACAAGCCGUUCUUUCUCUGUCAAAAUAACUUGCACAAGAAGAGGCUAUGGAGAGGAGAAUGGCUUUCUGAAUAUGUAUGACCUUAGGGCCUUAACAAAUCCUAUGCUCUGGGCCGCGUGGGAUAGGUUAGCUGCUAACCAACUUCCCUAAUGCAUAAGUCCGUUGGAAAAUAAAUCAUCAUAUCUGUUCA